UACGUAGGGGGCUAGCGUUGUCCGGAUUUAUUGGGCGUAAAGAGCGUGUAGGCGGCCAGGUAGGUCUGCUGUGAAAACUCGAGGCUCAACCUCGAGACGUCGGUUGAAACCACCUGGCUAGAGUCCGGAAGAGGAGUGUGGAAUUCCCGGUGUAGCGGUGGAAUGCGUAGAGAUCGGGAGGAACAUCAGUGGCGAAGGCGGCCAUCUGGGACAACACUGACGCUGAGGCACGAAAGCGUGGGGAGCAAACAGG
rnacentral:rRNA from 1 species